rnacentral:rRNA from 1 species
CUACGGGCGGCAGCAGUGGGGAAUAUUGGACAAUGGGGGAAACCCUGAUCCAGCAAUGCCGCGUGUGUGAAGAAGGCCUGCGGGUUGUAAAGCACUUUCGGUUGGGAGGACUGCUUCUAGCACUAAUAUUGUUGGAAGUUGACGUUACCUUCAGAAGAAGCACCGGCUAACUCCGUGCCAGCAGCCGCGGUAAUACGGGAGGGUGCAAGCGUUAAUCGGAAUUACUGGGCGUAAAGCGCGCGUAGGCGGCUAGAUCAGUCGGGUGUGAAAGCCCCGGGCGUAACCUGGGAACUGCAUCCGAUACUGUCUAGAUUGAGUACAGGGGAGGAGAGUGGAAUUCCACAUGUAGCGGUGAAAUGCGUAGAUAUGUGGAGGAACACCAAUGGCGAAGGCAGCUCUCUGGCCUGAUACUGACGCUGAGGUGCGAAAGCGUGGGGAGCAAACAGGAUUAGAUACCCUUGUAGUC